rnacentral:rRNA from 1 species
GCAAGCGUUAAUCGGAAUUACUGGGCGUAAAGCGCACGCAGGCGGUCUGUCAAGUCGGAUGUGAAAUCCCCGGGCUCAACCUGGGAACUGCAUCCGAAACUGGCAGGCUAGAGUCUUGUAGAGGGGGGUAGAAUUCCAGGUGUAGCGGUGAAAUGCGUAGAGAUCUGGAGGAAUACCGGUGGCGAAGGCGGCCCCCUGGACAAAGACUGACGCUCAGGUGCGAAAGCGUGGGGAGCAAACAGAAUUAGAUACCCUGGUAGUCCACGCCGUAAACGAUGUCGACUUGGAGGUUGUGCCCUUGAGGCGUGGCUUCCGGAGCUAACGCGUUAAGUCGACCGCCUGGGGAGUUCGGCCGCAAGGUUAAAACUCAAAUGAAUUGACGGGGGCCCGCACAAGCGGUGGAGCAUGUGGUUUAAUUCGAUGCAACGCGAAGAACCUUACCUACUCUUGACAUCCAGAGAACUUAGCAGAGAUGCUUUGGUGCCUUCGGGAACUCUGAGACAGGUGCUGCAUGGCUGUCGUCAGCUCGUGUUGUGAAAUGUUGGGUUAAGUCCCGCAACGAGCGCAACCCUUAUCCUUUGUUGCCAGCGGUUCGGCCGGGAACUCAAAGGAGACUGCCAGUGAUAAACUGGAGGAAGGUGGGGAUGACGUCAAGUCAUCAUGGCCCUUACGAGUAGGGCUACACACGUGCUACAAUGGCAUAUACAAAGAGAAGCGACCUCGCGAGAGCAAGCGGACCUCAUAAAGUAUGUCGUAGUCCGGAUUGGAGUCUGCAACUCGACUCCAUGAAGUCGGAAUCGCUAGUAAUCGUGGAUCAGAAUGCCACGGUGAAUACGUUCCCGGGCCUUGUACACACCGCCCGUCACACCAUGGGAGUGGGUUGCAAAAGAAGUAGGUAGCUUAACC